rnacentral:lncRNA from 1 species
UUAUUAUUUUUAAAUAAAAAAUUCUCCUAACAUAAUAAAAUUAAGUAAUUUAAAUCUCUAAUUUUAUUUAAAUUUCACCACACCCUUUCAUCCUACUAAAUUCACCCCUCACUCCUUAAUUUUAUUAUUAAAUCUAAUUUCCUUUAUUAUUUUAAUUAAUUCAAAUUAAACUAAUUUCUCGUAACCCUUAACUACCCAAUAAUUA